rnacentral:lncRNA from 1 species
GGCAAAGGGCUCAGCCCUAAAGUUGUGGCCAGGCCCAUCUAACCUUAUCCCCUCCCUCUCUUAUCUCCCACACCCGCGCCGCCGCUCCCUCCUCUGCCCCACCUGCGCCGCAGCCCCCUCCCUUGUCCCACCCGCGUUGGCUGAAAGCUUGCGGUCGCGCUCGUUUUGGCAGCAGCGACGCGCGCCUUCCUCUUCUCGGCGCCGCGUGGCGCGUUCCCCUUGCGCUGAGGCCUGCUCUCUGGGCGGUUGUGGACGAAACGACGACGGCUGCCGUCGCGAGAACGGACGACGAAGCCUCCCAAGGCGGUGAGACGAGCCUUCUUCCCAGGGGUCCUCAUGGAGACACCGUCGUGGAUGAUGCGGUGCAGGAUCUCGGGGAGGUCCUUGAGGUAGCCGAACUCCGCGACGGGGCCCGCGUUGAGGGCGAGCGUCGUGGGGUGGCAGCCGUGCAUCCACAGCGUGGCGCCGUAGAACCCCUCGCGGUCCGACUUGCCGGUGCCACGCACGCCGCGGAGGUUGCACGCGAGGGGGAGCGCGGUGCUGGGCUCGGCCGCCCACGCGUCGGCGAGGAGGGAGGCGAUGGACGCUGCCGGGGUGCCCGGGACGACGUGGAAGAAGAAGUCGAGGCAGGGGUCCCCCGAGGAGAUGAACGUCUGCGACGAGUUCUCCGUGCGCGCCUUCUUCGGCGCGGGCGUCGGCUUCGGAGUCAGCUUGUUGAACUCGGCGUCCAUCAGGUCUAGGAACGCGUCGCUGGUGGUGGGCAUGGCCGCGGCCGCCUUCUCGGCCGCCGCCGCUGCGCGCGCGGACGCCGCGCGGAGGCUCUCUGCUGGUGGGCCGAGGAGGGUGUAGGACACGGCGUUCCGGCUCGCCGGAGUCGCCAUGGGUUGGUAGCUACCAGGGGCGGAUGUAGAGUAGUAGCAUGGGGGACAGCUGUCCCCCCAUUUUUUUUAAAAAAAACAUCUAGUAUAUAUACCCUUUAAUAAUAUAUACAUAUAUAAUACAUUGAUGUAUAUAAUUGCUAGUCUGCUCAGCUCAUAUAACAACCUUAACACUUUACAUUCACAACUAUUUUAUCACCGUUUAGUACAUAUUGAUGAAUUAUAUCGUUUUCGUUCGUACCCCAUAAUUAAAAUCCUAGAUCCGCCACUGGUAGCUACCUACUUAGCUUGCAAUAUUUUUCCUCAUUUCAAUUCAUCAUCAGCUGAUUUGGUACCAGCAGAGCACAAGAUCUAGUGGACUCCAUCUCGCAGCCUCCAGCUAGGGGCGCGGGCAGCAGAGCACAAGAUGUAGUGGACUCCAUCUCGCAGUCGCAGGUAUGGCUUCUCUUCUGUAGCAGACGAUAUGUUAAGCAGAGGAUUGAUAGAGUGGGAGAGUACUACUCUUUCCAGUUCACUAAAUUGCUAUUCCUUUAAUAUUUUGAUAGAAUUUUUUUAUGUUUGCAGUGAUAAUUUUGGUGCAGAUUGGAGAUUCACAGGCUGAUGGAAAGUUUUCUGAAUUUUGUGAUAUGUUUGAAUUCUGGAUUUAUAAUUCAUAGGUGAUUUGUGAUUCCAGUGAUUGGAACUUGGAGUUAACAGAUUCGGACUGAGUGAACAAUCUUUUAUGCUUGCCCCUUCCAAUUGCAAAGCUACUGCAAUCUUUUAUUCUCAUUGCUUUUGUCAAAAGAAAUUUGUUAUCCUGGUUUUGGACUCCACUGCUACUCAGUCCUAAAAAAAGAAUAACUUUGAAGCAUUUAGCUGUUAAUAAGUGUUUUGCCAGCAAUUGAUUUGUCAUUUAGUUUAUUAAAUAGUAUUGAAACAUUUAGUGAGUGUGUGUCAGAUUUAUUUGAUUUUCGACAAAAGGAUAGAACAUCUAAGAAUUCUUAGAAAUUUAGUUCUUUUCAUGUAGUGUCAGGUUUAAAUUUUUAAAUAUUGAAUUGUCGCUGUCUGAACUUUCUUCACACCAACAACAUAGAUUCAUGGCUAUAAGAAAUUAUUUUUCUAUACCUUGCAAGAGGUAAAGAAACACAUAAGAGUCUCUUUGUUGUCUACUUAUAAAGUCUUGAUGAAUGGUUGGGUAAAUACUACAUAUGUUUUACCUUUUCUUUUGUGUCGCAUCUUUCUAUACCAAUAUUCUUUUUGGAGCUCCUUUAGUUUCUUUGUUUUUUUUUCUGUUUUACACAUAUUCCAUCUAUGAAUGCUUUGGACAUAAUUAUAUGUGGCCUUUUUUACCUAAAAUCGAAGGGGGGUUAAGACAAUGAUCUCUUGGUACAGAAAAUGUUACCUGGGUGUUUGUUGAGCCCUGAAAGUGGCACGAUUGCAAUUGUCUUUUGCAAUUUUAAUCACUAUCGGCGUAUUAGAAAGCUACAUUCUUUCUUAAAUAGUGUAAUCCUUAGCCGUCACAGAUUAUAUUUCAUUUUUUCAGAAUUUUCUGGCAUGCUUUCUUAUGUGCCCUUCUUUUUUAUGAAAAAAAUCUAGGUGAAAUGGAAUACUUGAUGGGAUAGCAUAAAUAGCGUUGAGCAGAAUUAUAAGCUUGAUGUUAGCUCUUUUUUUGCAUGUUUAUGAAUCUACAUCUCAGGCUAGAUUCAUAGCAGAAUUCUCUAAUCAGGGGGAUUUGUUGAUUUUACUUUUUUUCUUGGCAGGGCUUAUGAAUCUGCAGCGGUACUUACAGUCAUUUGCUUUAUCUUCUCAGAUACAUAAUUCGCCACUGGGCUAUUGGCAAGCAAUUGCCGCUUCUGGUAUGUGUUACCUAUGUCAAUAAUAAUGCAACUAAUUUGGUUAUUUCAGAAAUUAAAUCAUGUUGUAUUUUUGAAUGGGUAUCUUGUUGUUUUCAAGCACUGCAUGAAAGAACUAUUUACCACUUCUUAUUUUUUAGUCCAAGCAAAGUUUUGGAUUUGUGAGAAAAAACAUAUUGUAGUGUUGCUUAGAAUUUUUAAUAAUAUCAAUUGUAGAUGAAUUUAUACCCAUGUAUAAAUCACUCUGAUCGAACCAAGGUUGAAAAUUCAGGCUGUACCAAGCCUAAUCAUUUUCUACUUUGCUGUAGGUUCAGAAUAGAUUUUCCUUUGAUAUGAAUUGCAAAUACAAUGGCAACUUGCAUGUGAAGAUGUAUCUUUGUUCUUUUCAAUGCCUGUUCAAGUAAGUAUAAGUUUCCUCCUCUCUUCAGUUAUUUUCCAAUGCUCUGUACAUGUCCAAUGCUGCAAGAGAGCUACUGCAUAUGUUGUCCUCUCUGAACAUUGUCAGCUGCAAACCUUAUUGUUUAUUACAGUAUUCUCUGUUCGCACUUCUAAAUUUGUACUUUGGUUUAUAAUGGUUUUUGCAGGAUCUCAAGAACACCUUAUACUCAAUGUAGUUAGAGCUUACUGUUAAAUGUCUUCUAUGUUGCUGCUCAUGUAUUAUUAUAAAUCUUGUAGGCUGCAGCAACUUGAGUAGAUGCUUUGUAGAUAAGUUGUAUCUGAAGUUUGUAAAGAAUUUGAUUGCUGAAAUGGAUGAAAUAUGUGUAAUGCUUGCUGAAAUGGAUGAAAUAUGUGUUUUUCUAUAUCGUGAUUAGUGACGCGUUUAGCCAAGGUGCGUCGCUGCUGAGAUCCACAUUAGUGACGUGGCUCAACUCAACGCGUCGCUGCUCAAGGGUCAUCGUGACGCGUCAAGGCUGAACGUGUCACCCCUAAAGGUCAUUAGUGACGCGUAUAGGUUGAACGCGCCACCUACCAAUAAAGACAGUCGGCAAAGAAUUUCUGUUCUGAAAGAAAUUAAAACAGCCUUUGCCACCUGCCAAUAAAGGCAGUCGGCAAAGAGUCCUUUGCCACCUGCCAACAAAGGCAGUCGGCAAAGAAUUUCUGUUUAAAAAAAAUGAAAAGAGCCUUUGCCACCUGCCGCGUGGCAGUCGGCAA